GAGUGAAGCGGGAAGAGCUCAAGCUUAAAAUCUCCAUACUUGUAUGGCGAAUUGUAGUCUAUUGAGGCUGUUGUCAGCAUCGCGAUCGGGGACAAGUCCCUUGGAAAAGGGCAGCAUGGAGGGUGAUACUCCCGUCUCUGCUCCGAUUUGCGGUGUGUACGAUACGCUUUCUUUGAGUCGAGUUGUUUGGGAAUACAGCUCAAAGUAGGUGGUAAAUUCCAUCUAAAGCUAAAUAUUGGUGCGAGACCGAUAGCGAACAAGUACCGUGAGGGAAAGAUGAAAAGAACUUUGAAAAGAGAGUUAAAGAGUACCUGAAACUGUUGAAAGGGAACCGUAUCGUUUCCAGUGUUUUAUCCUGUGCAUAUUUCAUUCGCGGAGCAAUUUGCGGGUGCCCUGUGCAUGGGUGUGACSUCAGAGUCAGUUUGUAUGCUGCGGGAGAUGGUCAGUGAGGAGGUGCGUCACUUCGGUGAAAGUUAUAUCUCGCUGUCUAGUAGCCGUGGUUGAGACUGAGGUGCCUACAACAUGCCUUGGGGUUUCGUGUUGUCUCGUGUUAAUAACUGCUUUGAUAGCUUGCUAUGUCUGUGGUKKAUKGAUGCNAUUGAUGAUGCSGAUGACCUCUGCUGUKCGGGA
rnacentral:rRNA from 1 species